rnacentral:rRNA from 1 species
GACGAACGCUGGCGGCGUGCCUAAUACAUGCAAGUGGGACGCAAGGGAACACACUGUGCUUGCACACCGUGUUUUCUUGAGUCGCGAACGGGUGAGCAACGCGUAGGUAACCUGCCUAUUAGCGGGGGAUAACUAUUGGAAACGAUAGCUAAUACCGCAUAAUAUUAAUUAUUGCAUGAUAAUUGAUUGAAAGAUGCAAGCGCAUCACUAGUAGAUGGACCUGCGUUGUAUUAGCUAGUUGGUAAGGUAAGAGCUUACCAAGGCGACGAUACAUUGCCGACCUGAGAGGGUGAUCGGCCACACUGGGACUGAGACACGGCCCAGACUCCUACGGGAGGCAGCAGUAGGGAAUCUUCGGCAAUGGACGAAAGUCUGACCGAGCAACGCCGCGUGAGUGAAGAAGGUUUUCGGAUCGUAAAGCUCUGUUGUAAGUCAAGAACGUGUGUGAGAGUGGAAAGUUCACACAGUGACGGAGCUACCAGAAAGGAC